rnacentral:tRNA from 1 species
GGGAUAUUAAGUUAUGAUUAGACUGUAAUAUUUCAAAUAUUGAAGAGGGUAUAGUUGCUCAUAUCCCG